GGGGUAUCAUGGAAGAGUGGAAGGCUGAGAUCCUGAGACUGAGGGAGGCAGAGAGCCAGAGGGAGGCAGAGAGCCAGAGGGAGGCAGAGAGUCAGAGGGAGGCAGAGAGCCAGAGAGAUUCAGAAAGACAGAGAGAAGCAGAGAGACAGAGAGAAGCAGAGAGACAGAGAGAAGCAGAGAGACAGAGAGAAGCAGAGAGACAGAGGGAGGCAGAGAGAGAGAGGGAAGCAGCGAGACAGAGGGAAGCAGAGAGAGCCACAGAAGCAAUGGAGCACCAGAGAAAACUGCAGGAGAUCCACAGACUCAAACAACUGCUGGAUCUACUGAUGGUGGACCUACAACUGGCCCACCAAGAGAUUGAGAGAUUGAGGCUAUGGCAGAAAGUCAUGGAGGAUCAGCGACCAAGACUGGCCUGGAACAACAAACCUAUUGAGACAGGAAGAGAGAGGGAAAGAGAGAGAGAAAAAGAGAGAGAAAGGGAGAUGGAAAGGAAGAGAAAAGCAGAAUUGGAAAGACAAGAAAUGAAGAAGAAAGUGGAACAGGCAGAAGAAACGAUAAAAGCGUUAGAACGAGAGAUUGAGAGAUUGAAAGAGAUUGAGAAGGAAAUCAUAUUUGAAAGAGAAAGAGACAUGCGUAUUGCAGAGAAUGAGAAAGUCAAACUGGUUAACGAAAAGGUAAAAGAGUUAGAGAGAGAGGUUGAGAGACUGAAAGAAGAUAUGACAACAAAAGAGAUUCAAUACAAAAUCAAAUUUGAAAGAGCGAAAGAAGCGUUUAGAAGACAGAAUGAGAGAGUGAAACAGGUUAACCAAAAUGUACUAGUGUUAGACAGAGAGGUUGUGAGAAUGAAAGAAGAGAUUAGAUUGAAAGACGAGACUGAACCAGAGAGACCAUUUGAUAGAGACAGAGAGAGAGAAAAUGAUUGGAGACGAAGUGAAGAGGAGUUGAAAAAUAGAGUGGAGAGAGAGAUGGAGAUGGAGACAGCCCUCAUCAAUGACAAAAAGACGUCUGAAUUGGAGGAAGUCUUCAAGAAAAUCAAGGAACAGCAGAUAGAAUUAGAAAAUAUGGAAACAGACAAAUAUAAAUGGAAACAGAACCAAAUGGACAUGGAGGAGAAGAUGGAGGGUGAGCACAACAAACAGAAAGAGGUAGAAAGAAAGAGAAUGGAGAAAAUACCAAAACAGAGACAAGAAGAAGAUGAGAAGAAGAAGGAGAUGGAGAGAGAAGAAGAAGAGGAGAGACGCAAACAGAAGCACAUAGAGAUGGAAGAGGAAGA
rnacentral:lncRNA from 13 species